rnacentral:rRNA from 1 species
AUUGAACGCUGGCGGCAUGCCUUACACAUGCAAGUCGAACGGCAGCAUGAUCUAGCUUGCUAGAUUGAUGGCGAGUGGCGAACGGGUGAGUAAUACAUCGGAACGUGCCCUGUAGUGGGGGAUAACUAGUCGAAAGAUUAGCUAAUACCGCAUACGACCUGAGGGUGAAAGUGGGGGACCGUAAGGCCUCAUGCUAUAGGAGCGGCCGAUGUCUGAUUAGCUAGUUGGUGGGGUAAAGGCCCACCAAGGCGACGAUCAGUAGCUGGUCUGAGAGGACGAUCAGCCACACUGGGACUGAGACACGGCCCAGACUCCUACGGGAGGCAGCAGUGGGGAAUUUUGGACAAUGGGGGCAACCCUGAUCCAGCAAUGCCGCGUGUGUGAAGAAGGCCUUCGGGUUGUAAAGCACUUUUGUCCGGAAAGAAAUCGCACUUACUAAUAUUAGGUGUGGAUGACGGUACCGGAAGAAUAAGGACCGGCUAACUACGUG